rnacentral:tRNA from 1 species
GAAAAAGACUGUAAGAACUGCUAAUUCUCAAUACCACAUCUAACAAAUGCGGCUUUUUCA